rnacentral:ribozyme from 2 species
CUAAAAACUCCGUCUGUAGCUCUUCUAGAGUUACGGCCGGUUCCAAGCCCGGGUAAAGGAGGAGGGUUGG